rnacentral:rRNA from 1 species
UUAAGCGACUAAGCGUACACGGUGGAUGCCCUGGCAGUCAGAGGCGAUGAAGGACGUGCUAAUCUGCGAUAAGCGUCGGUGAGGUGAUAUGAACCGUUAUAACCGGCGAUUUCCGAAUGGGGAAACCCAGUGUGUUUCGACACACUAUCAUUAACUGAAUCCAUAGGUUAAUGAGGCGAACCGGGGGAACUGAAACAUCUAAGUACCCCGAGGAAAAGAAAUCAACCGAGAUUCCCCCAGUAGCGGCGAGCGAACGGGGAGGAGCCCAGAGCCUGAAUCAGUGUGUGUGUUAGUGGAAGCGUCUGGAAAGGCGUGCGAUACAGGGUGACAGCCCCGUACACAAAAAUGCACAUAUUGUGAGCUCGAUGAGUAGGACGGGACACGUGGUAUCCUGUCUGAAUAUGGGGGGACCAUCCUCCAAGGCUAAAUACUCCUGACUGACCGAUAGUGAACCAGUACCGUGAGGGAAAGGCGAAAAGAACCCCGGCGAGGGGAGUGAAAAAGAACCUGAAACCGUGUACGUACAAGCAGUGGGAGCCUCUUAAUGGGGUGACUGCGUACCUUUUGUAUAAUGGGUCAGCGACUUAUAUUCUGUAGCAAGGUUAACCGAAUAGGGGAGCCGAAGGGAAACCGAGUCUUAACUGGGCGUUAAGUUGCAGGGUAUAGACCCGAAACCCGGUGAUCUAGCCAUGGGCAGGUUGAAGGUUGGGUAACACUAACUGGAGGACCGAACCGACUAAUGUUGAAAAAUUAGCGGAUGACUUGUGGCUGGGGGUGAAAGGCCAAUCAAACCGGGAGAUAGCUGGUUCUCCCCGAAAGCUAUUUAGGUAGCGCCUCGUGAAUUCAUCUCCGGGGGUAGAGCACUGUUUCGGCAAGGGGGUCAUCCCGACUUACCAACCCGAUGCAAACUGCGAAUACCGGAGAAUGUUAUCACGGGAGACACACGGCGGGUGCUAACGUCCGUCGUGAAGAGGGAAACAACCCAGACCGCCAGCUAAGGUCCCAAAGUCAUGGUUAAGUGGGAAACGAUGUGGGAAGGCCCAGACAGCCAGGAUGUUGGCUUAGAAGCAGCCAUCAUUUAAAGAAAGCGUAAUAGCUCACUGGUCGAGUCGGCCUGCGCGGAAGAUGUAACGGGGCUAAACCAUGCACCGAAGCUGCGGCAGCGACACUAUGUGUUGUUGGGUAGGGGAGCGUUCUGUAAGCCUGUGAAGGUGGCCUGUGAGGGUUGCUGGAGGUAUCAGAAGUGCGAAUGCUGACAUAAGUAACGAUAAAGCGGGUGAAAAGCCCGCUCGCCGGAAGACCAAGGGUUCCUGUCCAACGUUAAUCGGGGCAGGGUGAGUCGACCCCUAAGGCGAGGCCGAAAGGCGUAGUCGAUGGGAAACAGGUUAAUAUUCCUGUACUUGGUGUUACUGCGAAGGGGGGACGGAGAAGGCUAUGUUGGCCGGGCGACGGUUGUCCCGGUUUAAGCGUGUAGGCUGGUUUUCCAGGCAAAUCCGGAAAACCAAGGCUGAGGCGUGAUGACGAGGCACUACGGUGCUGAAGCGACAAAUGCCCUGCUUCCAGGAAAAGCCUCUAAGCAUCAGGUAACAUCAAAUCGUACCCCAAACCGACACAGGUGGUCAGGUAGAGAAUACCAAGGCGCUUGAGAGAACUCGGGUGAAGGAACUAGGCAAAAUGGUGCCGUAACUUCGGGAGAAGGCACGCUGAUAUGUAGGUGAAGCGACUUGCUCGUGGAGCUGAAAUCAGUCGAAGAUACCAGCUGGCUGCAACUGUUUAUUAAAAACACAGCACUGUGCAAACACGAAAGUGGACGUAUACGGUGUGACGCCUGCCCGGUGCCGGAAGGUUAAUUGAUGGGGUUAGCGGCAACGCGAAGCUCUUGAUCGAAGCCCCGGUAAACGGCGGCCGUAACUAUAACGGUCCUAAGGUAGCGAAAUUCCUUGUCGGGUAAGUUCCGACCUGCACGAAUGGCGUAAUGAUGGCCAGGCUGUCUCCACCCGAGACUCAGUGAAAUUGAACUCGCUGUGAAGAUGCAGUGUACCCGCGGCAAGACGGAAAGACCCCGUGAACCUUUACUAUAGCUUGACACUGAACAUUGAGCCUUGAUGUGUAGGAUAGGUGGGAGGCUUUGAAGUGUGGACGCCAGUCUGCAUGGAGCCGACCUUGAAAUACCACCCUUUAAUGUUUGAUGUUCUAACGUUGGCCCGUAAUCCGGGUUGCGGACAGUGUCUGGUGGGUAGUUUGACUGGGGCGGUCUCCUCCUAAAGAGUAACGGAGGAGCACGAAGGUUGGCUAAUCCUGGUCGGA